rnacentral:rRNA from 1 species
GAUGAACGCUAGCUACAGGCUUAACACAUGCAAGUCGAGGGGCAGCGGGUUGAAAGCUUGCUUUCAAUGCCGGCGACCGGCGCACGGGUGCGUAACGCGUAUCAAACCUGCCUCAUACUCGGGGAUAGCCUUGCGAAAGUAAGAUUAAUACCCGAUGUUGUUGCUUUCUCGCAUGGGAGAGUAACCAAAGAUUUAUCGGUAUGAGAUGGUGAUGCGUCCGAUUAGGUAGUAGGCGGGGUAACGGCCCACCUAGCCUUCGAUCGGUAGGGGUUCUGAGAGGAAGGUCCCCCACACUGGAACUGAGACACGGUCCAGACUCCUACGGGAGGCAGCAGUGAGGAAUAUUGGUCAAUGGGCGAGAGCCUGAACCAGCCAAGUAGCGUGCAGGAUGACGGCCCUCCGGGUUGUAAACUGCUUUUAGUUGGGAAUAAAAAAAGGGACUUGUCCCCUCUUGUAUGUACCUUCAGAAAAAGGACCGGCUAAUUCCGUGCCAGCAGCCGCGGUAAUACGGAAGGUCCAGGCGUUAUCCGGAUUUAUUGGGUUUAAAGGGAGCGUAGGCGGAUUGUUAAGUCAGCGGUUAAAGGGUGUGGCUCAACCAUGCAUUGCCGUUGAAACUGGCGAUCUUGAGUGCAGACAGGGAUGCCGGAAUUCGUGGUGUAGCGGUGAAAUGCUUAGAUAUCACGAAGAACUCCGAUCGCGAAGGCAGGUGUCCGGGCUGCAACUGACGCUGAGGCUCGAAAGUGUGGGUAUCAAACAGG